GUCAACAAUGUAUUAGUUUGUGAUUAGGUCUAGUUCAUGGUGAACCACUAGCGGUAGGUCAAUGAUAUUUGGUAUGCAGUUGUAUUAGCAUUGGCACAUCUCAUUACCAUGGAGAUUAUUUGGCCCCGCCCCCUCAGUCAAGGUCUGUUGACUUUGAAACUUUGCUAAGUUUACAUGUAUUAGUUUGUGAUUAGGUCAGUUUAUGGGAAACCACUAGUGGUAGGUCAAUGAAAUUUGGUAUGCAGUUGUAUUAGCAUUGGCACAUCUCAUUACCAUGGAGCUUAUUUGGCCCUGCCCCCUCAGUCAAGGUCUAUUGACUUUGAAACUUUGCUUAGUUUACAUGUAUUAGUUUGUGAUUAGGUCAGUUUAUGGGGAACCACUAGUGAUAGGUCAAUGAUAUUUGGUAUGCAGUUGUAUAAGCAUUGGCAUAUCUCAUUUCCAUGGAGAUUAUUUGGCCCCGCCCCCUCAUUCAUGGUCUAUUGACUGAAACUUUUGCUUAGUUUUCAUGUAUUAGUUUGUGAUUAGGUCAGUUUAAGAUGAACCACUAAUGUAAAGUCAAUGAUAUUUGGUAUGCAAAUGUAUUGGCAUUUGCAAGUUUUAUUUCCAUGGAGAUUAUAUAACCCCAACCCCUAAUUAUGGUUCAUUGAUUUUGAAACUUUUACAUAGUUUACAAGUUAAUGUUUGUGUUUAGGUUUGUUUAAAGGGAACGACUUAUGAAAAGUCAAUGGUCAUUUGGUUUGCAGUUGUAUUAGCAUUGGCAAAUCUCAUUUCCAUGGCGAUUGUUUAGCCCUGUACCUUCAGUCAUGGUUCAUUGACUUUAAAUAUUUGCAUAACUUACAUGUUAAAGUAUUGCUAUUUUAAUUUCAACAUUUGCAUUAUCAAAAUAACAAAUAGGCAAGACAUAUCUCUGUGUUAACAGUUUUAUAG